rnacentral:lncRNA from 12 species
UUCUGCUAAUGAAUUGGUCAUGACGAGAACAUGUUCACGACUUCCUUGAAUGAUCUUCCUCUAAGUCGUCAAGUUUUUUUUUUAAGAUUUUAUUAAAAAAAAAAAAAAGAUUUUAUCUUUAAGUAAUCUCUCUGCCCAGUGUGGGGCUCGAUCUCACAACCCCGGAUCAAGAGUUGCACGCUCUACCGGCUGAGCCGGCCAGGCUCCCCUCGUCAUCAACGUUCAUAGUAAAACAAAUCCAAACAGAUUACAGGAGAGCUACAAAAUGCUUGUCAUUUCUGUUUCGGAGGCCACAUGGCAGGGACCCCCAGGUGGUGGCCACUCAGAGUGGGCCGGCGGCGACCUGGGCCUGCGAAGCGCUCCUUGUCUUUCAGGCGCGGCUGCUGCGGAGGGGCCUGGGGUGGCCAACCGUGCGCCAGGCUUCCUUGAGAGGUCAAAGUCUCAGGUGUCACAAGUCCCCAGAGCCAAAGAUUUCCCUCAGGUGGAGACUCGCUUCCCAGAAGCCUCCAAAACAAACAGCGGAGGAGCCUGGACUGGGACACUGAGGACCGCCCCGUCCAGCCUGGGGACAGCGGUGGCGAGGCUGCGGAUCGACUAGCAUUCAUGGAGCCUGUACUCUCCAUCAGCCCCGAGCUGCUGGCCACUUACUCACUGCAGCCGUUUUACUCCAAGACGAACCAGCUCGACCCUGAAGCCCAGGCGUGGGGGAAAACCCAGUGAAAGGGAUUUGGUGAAAUGGAGUGGAGAGACUGGAUCCAGCUGAUCCUGAAGCUUGCCUACGACAUCUGGAUCAGCAGAUCUGGGAAAUGAUGGAUUUUGUCAUCGUUGAAGUGAAUUUGGGGUUUCUUAUGGCCAUAAGUCACCUCAGUGAUGCAUCUCCCAAGAAGCUGUCUGGUUUCAUAACUGCAGAGGAAAACAAGAAGGAGCAGAACCACAGAAAAGUGGGAAAUAUUUUGCUGACACAAAUGCCGGGGAAAAGUUUUAAAGCACGUUUUGAAGAUGAUUUUGUAACUCAAUCUAUGCUCGCUACUUCUCUCCUGGUGCGUGUGAGUCACCAAGGCUACGAGUGAUGGAAAGACUGAAAAGAAAGACAAAUUCAAUUAGAUUAAAAUGUUUGGUUACAGCUAGUAUAUGUCACAAAUCCCUUCUUUUGACCUUUACAGAAAGACUUUUUUUUUUUAAGUUUGUAUUUCUUUAUUUGCCAGAGAGAGAGAGAGAGAGAGAGAGCAAGCAGGGGGAGCAGCAGAGGGAGAGGGAGAAGCAGGCUCUCCACCGAGCAGGGAGCCCAACGUCAGGCUUGAUCCCAGGACCCUGAGAUGAUGACUCCAGCUGAAGGCAGACGCUUAUCCAACUGAGCCACCCAGGUACCUCUAAAGAGAGACUUUUAUUGAAAAGAAAAAUGAAGCUUUCUUAAACUCUGGCUAAAUGAAUAUCAUGUGGAUAUUUAGAGAAGGGGAACCAAGUUCUGAGCCUACCCAGGGGCUCUCACACGGGCCCAUCUGCCUCAACUGUGGAGGAAGGUGGAGGGUUGGGGCCUGUAGGUCGCCUCUGAGUGGAGGCACCAUUUGGAGGAAAUGUCCUUAACUCGUUGGCAGCCCAGGGGUCUUUCCCAGUUAAGUGACUCUGAAAAUCUAACUUCUCUGGGCCUCUGUUUCCUCGUCUAUAAAAUGGGUUUACUGCUUUUCCUAUCUACCCCACAGGGUGGAUAGUGAAACUGAGAAGCGCUAUGCAGAUUUAAGAUUCCUGGAGGGAAAAUAUUAACCCAUCUUGUGUACGAAGUUCAGCAGCCUUAGGGUGGGGUGGUAAUCCCUCUUGCAAACAGCCGGGCCUGCCCUUUAGACUAGUUUGGAAGCCCAGCUGCCUGAAUGCCUAUGGAAGCAGCUGAUGAUUGCAUGUGUCUGUCAGGGAAGAGAUGGGCCCCUCUUCUCAGAUUCCCCUCCCAUGCUGGUGAACCCUGACCCUGGGGCUGGCCACACUCACCUACGUGGUCCAGUCGGAGCAUCUGCAACUAUCCCGGGGGAUGCUGUCCUCAUCUGGGAAACCUGGGAAAAUACAAUAAAUAAAUUUUAAAUAAAUUUGUUAAAUAAGUA